AGAGUUUGAUCCUGGCUCAGGACGAACGCUGGCGGCGUGCCUAAUACAUGCAAGUCGAACGAAACUUUCUUACACCGAAUGCUUGCAUUCACCGUAAGAAGUUGAGUGGCGGACGGGUGAGUAACACGUGGGUAACCUGCCUAAAAGAAGGGGAUAACACUUGGAAACAGGUGCUAAUACCGUAUAUCUCUAAGGAUCGCAUGAUCCUUAGAUGAAAGAUGGUUCUGCUAUCGCUUUUAGAUGGACCCGCGGCGUAUUAACUAGUUGGUGGGGUAACGGCCUACCAAGGUGAUGAUACGUAGCCGAACUGAGAGGUUGAUCGGCCACAUUGGGACUGAGACACGGCCCAAACUCCUACGGGAGGCAGCAGUAGGGAAUCUUCCACAAUGGACGCAAGUCUGAUGGAGCAACGCCGCGUGAGUGAAGAAGGUCUUCGGAUCGUAAAACUCUGUUGUUAGAGAAGAACACGAGUGAGAGUAACUGUUCAUUCGAUGACGGUAUCUAACCAGCAAGUCACGGCUAACUACGUGCCAGCAGCCGCGGUAAUACGUAGGUGGCAAGCGUUGUCCGGAUUUAUUGGGCGUAAAGGGAACGCAGGCGGUCUUUUAAGUCUGAUGUGAAAGCCUUCGGCUUAACCGGAGUAGUGCAUUGGAAACUGGAAGACUUGAGUGCAGAAGAGGAGAGUGGAACUCCAUGUGUAGCGGUGAAAUGCGUAGAUAUAUGGAAGAACACCAGUGGCGAAAGCGGCUCUCUGGUCUGUAACUGACGCUGAGGUUCGAAAGCGUGGGUAGCAAACAGGAUUAGAUACCCUGGUAGUCCACGCCGUAAACGAUGAAUGCUAGGU
rnacentral:rRNA from 1 species